GACGAACGCUGGCGGCGUGCUUAACACAUGCAAGUCGAACGGAAAGGCCCUGCUUUUGUGGGGUGCUCGAGUGGCGAACGGGUGAGUAACACGUGAGUAACCUGCCCUUGACUUUGGGAUAACUUCAGGAAACUGGGGCUCAUACCGGAUAGGAGCUCUUGCUGCAUGGUGGGGGUUGGAAAGUUUCGGCGGUUGGGGAUGGACUCGCGGCUUAUCAGCUUGUUGGUGAGGUAGUGGCUUACCAAGGCUUUGACGGGUAGCCGGCCUGAGAGGGUGACCGGCCACAAUGGGACUGAGAUACGGCCCAGUCUCCUACGGGAGGCAGCAGUGGGGAAUAUUGCACAAUGGGCGGAAGCCUGAUGCAGCAACGCCGCGUGCGGGAUAACGGCCUUCGGGUUGUAAACCGCUUUCGCCUGUGACGAAGCGUGAGUGACGGUAAUGGGUAAAGAAGCACCGGCUAACUACGUG
rnacentral:rRNA from 1 species